rnacentral:rRNA from 1 species
CGGUGGAGGAUGAAGGCCUUCGGGUUGUAAACCCCUGUCAGAGGGAAUGAAGAUAAAUAGCUUAAAUAGCUGUUCAUCUGACAGUACUCUCAAAGGAAGCCCCGGCUAAUUCCGUGCCAGCAGCCGCGGUAAUACGGAAGGGGCAAGCGUUGUUCGGAAUCAUUGGGCGUAAAGGGCGCGUAGGCUGUCUUGUGUGUUCGCUGUAAAAACGCACGGCUCACCUGUGUGAGGUCGGUGAAAACUGCAAGACUUGAGGCUGGGAGAGGCUGGUGGAAUUCCCUGUGUAGCGGUGAAAUGCGUGGAUAUAGGGGAGAACACUCGUGGCGAAGGCGGCCAGCUAGACCAGUCCUGACGCUGAGGCGCGACAGCGUGGGGAGCAAACAGGAUUAGAUACCCUGGUAGUCCACGCCGUAAACGAUGGGCACUAGGUGUCGGCGGUACUGAUUCCGUCGGCGCCGGCGUUAACGCAGUAAGUGCCCCGCCUGGGGAGUACGGUCGCAAGGCUG